GAUGAACGCUGGCGGCGUGCCUAAUACAUGCAAGUCGAGCGAACAGACGCGGAGCUUGCUCCUCGCACGUUAGCCGCGGACGUGUGAGAAACACGUGUAUAACCUACCUAUAAGUCGGGUAUAACUUCGGGACACCGGAGCUAAUCCCGUAUAAUCUCUUGAACCGCAGGGUUCAAUAGUGAGAGACGGCUUUGCUGUCACUUAUAGAUGCAUCCGGGCUGCAUUAGAUAGUUGGGAAGGUAACGGCUUACCAAGGCUACGAUGCGUAGGCGACCUGACAGGGGGAUCGGCCACAUGGGAACUGGAACGCGGUCCAGAGUACUGCGGGAGGGAGCAGAAGGGAACGGUAGGCAAUGGGCGGAAGCAUGACGGAGCAAGGCCGCGUGAGAGACGAAGGCCUUGGGGUCGUAAAACUCUGUUAUUCGGGAAGAACAGCUGUGUAAGUAGACAUGGAGGUCUUGACGGUACCGGAUCAGAAAGCACCGGCUAACUACGUG
rnacentral:rRNA from 1 species